GUGGGUUUUGAAAGUUGUGGAUGGUGCAACGAUGGAGGAAGUGGAGAGACAACAGUGUAAAAAAGAUAAAUGGAAACAUUUUUGGAGAGGGAUGGAAUGAAAUGUAUGGGAAGGAGAGAGCAAAGUGCCGUUAAGCAACUCAGAGUGGAUUAUCAACUUAUCAGUCAAUCAGAUUUUAUUUGCAUGGCACCUUUCAAGGCAUUUCAAAGUGCUUUACGUCAUUAAAAAAUAAAACUUAAAUUGUAGAAUUACACUGCAGACGGUGACAGCAUGUUGGAUUAACUCUUUCAGGUUCAGAUGUUGAAAACAUGGAUGCAGUCCAGGAGGAAGUUCAUUGAUCGUUACGGGAACUGAUCCUUUCCCUGACUCCAACAUAUCUCUGUUCAGGUUUUUGCUCACAAAAAAAACAAAGAUUUCAACCAGUCAACUUAACAUUAAACUGUGUGGCAGUACAUGUAGUACAACGGAAAGAAAUAGUUUGUCCUUUUGUGACCAAGUUUCUUUGAGUUAUUUCGCUCUUCUUUUCAAUCCACUACCAUCAGUCAUUUAUAACAGUAAAUGCUUCAUUUCAUCAUAUUAAUAACAAAACUGCAGACUUUUUUUUUUCCCACUGCGGUGAAAGCACCAUCUUACCACCGGACGAAACAAGAUGUUUGUAAAGCAUGAUAAGGAUAAGAUUCAGUGCUUAGGCUAUCUGGGGAUUUCAACUUACGAGCAAAAACAAACGUAUGCAUUUAUCUUGCUCGAUGUCGUAAUGCGCUUUCAGCAAAAACCAAAAAAAAUAAUAAAUAAAAAAUCCACACCUCACAUGUCUGAAUUAGAAAUGUUUCAAAGCACGAAUCGAUGAAAUUACACACCAAGACAUAACCCAGAGUGAGAAAACAGAUCGCCGGUCCUGUUAAAGUCACGCUUGGUGUCGUAGAUACAGGAGAAAACCUCCAGGUGUGAAUCGGUGUUUGACAUCAGGGUGCGACAGAAAACGUCGUUCAGCUGCGGGUUUUAAUACAAGCAGCGCGGCUCUCCACCUGACACAAGUCGUCUGUCAGUUUGCGCCCUAAAGGAGUUUUCUAUUGCUUCUAUUCAUGCGUAAGCAAUGGGGAAAAGCUGAGAAAAAAGGUCUGAAGUUAGGUGUCAUGAUUCAAGGUUAUGGUUAGUAGUUCACAUCUUCAGUAAUGAACUGGGACCAAGUUUGAUCAUCCAAGCUCUGCAUGUUGUCGUAAAUUGUUUUUCCCAGUUUCUUUUGUUCGUUUGUUUUCUCAGAGAGUGACCAACAUGAUUUGUGUUUCAGCUCUUAAAAAACUCUGUCGACCUUUUAAAAAAAGCCAAUUGUGGUUCGUCUACUAUAUUCUACAUUAUUUCAAGCAUUGAAAUACUUUGUCACACACACAUUGGGCCACGUCUUAAUAUUUUAUUCAUAUUUAAAAAACAUUUAUAAGUUAAAUAUAUAUGAUGAACUUAAAAUCCAUGUAUUGCCAAUAUGUCUCGACUGUAGAGACGUCUAAUUGUGUCAGCGGUACCAGCGUAAAAGUUUCAGAACAUUAUGCAUUAGCGCAACAUAAAGUGCUACUAAUUGCAUGUAUUUCCAGGAAAGGCACUUGUACAUUACUUACCUCUAUAACGCCUGGUAGCUCUCUGUGGAGGCCUUGGAAAACACACGACCAACAACAUCAGUGUUUAGAUUGUGUGACAAAUAUUAUCAUGUUGAGGCACCAAAAAGAUGUUCGACAUUGAAGAAGAUUUAGCGUAACUGCAGUACUUUGGUGUUUGAAGUGGGAACUUGAGAGUUGCACUAUAGAUCCAUGACCUCCUUUGUUUAUGAUAGUAAAACAUCAUACCAAAAAAAAAAAAAAAAGAAUAAUAAAAAUCUAAUCUAACGCAAUGUAGUGCAAAGUUCUUCGUUCAAGUUAAACUUUUUCAUUAAAUUUUUUUAUGUAAUGACAUUACAUGUCAUUACAUUUUUACUCAAAAAACACGGUGGAUUUGCGUUGAGCAAAGUCAGAGUAGAAAGUGCGGAUGGAUCUGUGAGUCUUUUAAAAAGAAAAAGAAAAAAAUACUGUUUACAUCCAAAUGUAACAGAAAAACAUUUUGAUUUUUAGGCACCACUGAUUUAAAGGUGGCACCUGGAUUUUGUGCUAUACUCUCAAAACUAAAGCAUUCAGAAGCUGAUGAUGGGGUCGAUACGUGUACAUAAGGGGGAAUCCCACACACAAAAGAUCACGAAAUGUAAAUACUGAGAGCAAUAUGAGGACAUGAGAGAAUUUCCAAGGCAACAUACUGAAAAUCCAGAGAGAGAGAGAGAGAGAGAGAGAAACACUCGAGAGACUGUGGACAACUGUGACUCAGAGGGAAACAUGUUUGUGUAGCAGUAGUAGCAGAAGGGUUCUCCUGGACAGGAAAGUGUCAUUGCACAUUUCGCCUCAGUAGGCAUGUGGUGUAGAAGAAAAAAUGGAAGGGGGAGGGGCAGGGCGUCCUGAAUGCAGUCAAUAAAAACUGCAGCCUUUCGAUUCGUUUUCAAACACACAAGGCCCGUCAUCCUGUCAUAGCUGCAGCUUAUAGGGGUUGAAUACGCUACCAAGGAGACGGUGGCAUUCCCGCCUAAAACCCUCUCUCUCUAGAGGGAGCAGAGAAAGACACACUCAGGAAAUUUGCUUUGUGCUCAAUCUAGAUAUUAAAGCACGUGCUCGCCUCCUUGAGGAAGAAGUGAACCACUCUAAAAGAACUUUCCAAUUCCUGAAGAUGUGAAAGACGAGUUGGCCACUGUUGGCCAUUCAGCAACCCUGAGGGCGGAUUGGAUCACUGGCUACGAUCUCCUUCGUUCUGGUCGGUCUCUAAAGGCACUUUGUGGACCAAUUUGACAGUAAGCGGACGGAGGUGAUGUGAACGUCCAGGCGUGCUUGUAAAUCCAGGAAGCAAUUAAAGAAGAAUCUGGAGAUCAAUCCUGACAGAACAUUCGCCGUGUUUUGUUCAGCUAUAGGGAGACAUGAGGGGGGGCAACACUUUAGGGAACGACGCCAACAGAAACUAAUUAACACAGCUGGGCUUCAUUUCUAAUUAGUUUCUCCCUCUUUCAUGCAGCAGCGAGCGGACCUGGUCCUUUCGACGUGGAGCAACAUGCUGACAGAAACCAUCGUAUGUUUCAACAGUUACCCUGUCGACUCUACACUACCACAGAUAUUUUAAAUAACUUUUUGUAUAUUUGUGGCUGGAUGUCUGCACAGGUUUGAUAAUUGUUGAACAGUGGAGGGGGGGGCAAGUGCUGCAUGGACUAGUCGGCACUCAUUCCUCAUGGUAGCAGCUAAAGCUGUUGAUUAUCUGAUGGGUGAGCUUGGUACUCAGUACGUCUCCACUAAAUUUCCCAAGAAGACCAUUUGCACGUUCAUAUAUCAACCAUGCAUGCACAUAUUAGUACAUACAGCUGCCAGCAAUGCAGACCAGAUCAUAAUGUGCUCCAUUUCAGCCUGCUGCAGUUGCAGUUAUCGCUGCGAGGCACAGAGAGAGAGAAAAAAAAAAACUAAAUCAGCAUCGGACAGAUGGUGAGAUGAAUAUCAGAGGCCUUCGGUGUCGAUGCACAGAUAGAAAACUGAGAGUAAACAGCAGCAAGGCGGUUAAUAAACACAAGUAGCUUUCACGUCGCCAUGCUUUUUGGAAGCAGCGGCUCUAAUGGAGGAACUGCCAGUCUCUACUUUCCUCCCUCCACCUCGCUUUCUCCCUCCGCCAGUCCACGUCUUUUACGUGACGAGAGGAUUAGCGGGAGACGUCGUCCGCCGAGGAUGCGGGGAGAGAGUGGGAGGGACCGAGGAGAAGGGAGGUGAAGUGGGAAGGAGAGGAGGGCGGAUAAAAAAAGGCGGUAUCGAACGCUGACCUGUUUUGGGCUGAUAAGCGGCUGCCGCUUUGUGCUGAAGCCACUGGCUUUAAUUUGGGGGCCGCAACAUUUGGAAUUAAUUAUCACACACUACAGCAGCUCUGCGCCUCGCAGUGCACGCCGAAUAUUACAUCCAACCCAACGCAAACUUUAUGCAGCUUAUGUGCUGGAAUUUACUGUUGCAGAAGACUCUGGAUGAAAUACAGAUGCUAGUAUGUAGCUAGAAAUUGUGGGUUCUGUGCUGUGUUCAAGAGUAAGGCGUUCUUUACUACUACAUUUAAGCCACGUUUCAUAGUCACAUUGACUUUGUAUUUCAUAUUAAUAAGAAGGACCGAUGCUCCCAACACUGUGGCUGGAUGCUGAAACUGUGGCAUGUCAUGCCUAAAAUGAAAACAGACGCCAUGUCUUGCCAAUGUGCUUUUCCUUGACCACUUCUUUUCUGCACUGCUUCAUGUGAGCUACGGUCCAGUUGCCACUAGAGACACAACUUGAACACCAAAAAGGAGAUGAUAUUAACGAGUUAAAGUCUCUGGAAGUACCAGGCGUUGUUGUGUUCAGUGCAGCUCCAUCUUAAAACAAUCAUUUGCCAACAUAUCUAUCAGAAACCUACCCAGCUGGCAGACUAGCUAACAUGUGAUAAUUAUGCUUUCCAGUCUAAAGCUAACAAGCUACAAUGAAGGAUAUGCUAACUUUGUAAGCAAUAGUUUAAUUUGAUCUCUGUAUAUGUGUGUAAACAACAAAAUUAUGCUGAAAAGUAAUGCAGUCAAUAUUAGUGUUAGAUAUUAAUGGUGUUAGUAGCAUUUGUUCCCAUAUCAUGACACUAUGGUGCUUUCACUCAAAACUGGUAUGCCAUCAGAAUCAGAAUAUUAUAGUGACCCAAGUCUAAAUAGCCAUAAUAUACUGAAUAUAAGACAUGUUGCAAUGAUGAGCGAGUAACACAUUGGAUUAUUAAUAAUGCUGGGACACUUGUAAAAUAGCUUGUUCAAAAUGUGCAUCAUUGUAGUGGAAUGUGUCAGAUCAGGGACAUAGUCUCCACAAAACAAAUCUUCUGCAAAUGUUGCAUCUUUUUUACAAGCUUAAACAGAGCAAGUAGAAGAAUUUUAUUAAAACACGAUAAGCCGUUCACAUUUGUUUUCAGCUUUUAUAAUCGAUGAGCCCUUUGCUGCUUCCAUCUUCUUAUUUAAUUCACAGAGGAAUUUAUCUUCUGCUUUGACUAUGAGCAACAACAAGCCGUGGUAUUUUCUUAAAUGUCAAACCAUUAACCAAAGGUGAACCGUCCAUCAUUUCAGACAAAAAAACAAAACACUAUUUUUAAUGCAAGAAACUUUUCACUUUGUUUCAAUCAUCAAUAAAAUUCAUAAUGCUUCAGCUUACCAGACAGAACCAGAUAAUUUUUUUAUGAAACAUCACAGAUUCAAUCAACGUGCAUGAAUCAAGUUACCAUAUGGAAAAUGUAUGGAAGUUUUUUUUUAUGUGGGAAGGGGAUGAUUAGCUUCUUAAGAAAAGAAAAAACAGAACGAUUAAAUAAAGGACACAUAAAACAGAAUAUGGACCUCUAUAUUAUCCAUCUGAGAUGAAGCUGAUUCUCCAUAAAAUAACUUCCUGAUGUGUUAGAAUCUUUUUUUUUUUACCAUGGAGGAACCAGCUGAUCACACGUUUAGUAAAAUGUGGUGCGUUCACAGACAGAAACCGAAAAACAGAGGUGUGAGAUGUCCACAGUUUAAAGUUGUCCUACACCAAAUAACACCAUCACUUUUUUCUUACCAAUUUUCCAAAUUGUCAGUAAGAAACGUUAGACACCACCGGAGCGUUACCAUCACCCACUUGGCUGCUACAGAGACAGAAGAUCCAAAGAAAAUACCGACCAGAGCUGCAAAAUUUGUUGUGUCAACUUUAGACAAAAUUGGACCAAUUCUGGAUCAGUUUGACAUUUUAGCUCCUAAAUUUGGUAAAAAAAACAAACAAAAAAAAAAAAUGUUAAACAUGCAGGUUUCUAGAAAAACGUCCCUGUAUGAGAACAAAAUGUUCUUAUUGUUAAACAAAUCAGACAGGAACCGUAACUUAAUGGCGUCCAAACCUUGCUUGCCACACAUUUUCAACCAAAUUAGCACCCUUUUUAUCUUCAAAUGAACGACUUUUACUCCUCGCUCGCCUUUGCCAGUCUUGUAAACACCGCAGUGGCAGCACUGCAGAUUUUAGCCUCCCUGUUUCUUUUUACAACAGCCUAGUCAAAAAUCAGCGCAUGUAAUUUGUGUCCAUGCUUGUUAACACUAUAAUGUGCUGCGGGAAGUAAACGGUGCGCGGUACAAUUAUUAAAAAAAAAAAGGGGGAACGGUGCAGCCAGUCAGAGCAGCGGCGUAGCGGCUCGUACGUUGGAUUGAGGGCAGCUUUAGAGCCGGCGAGGAGAAGCUUGAGUGGCUUAGCGAGGUUGUGUGUAUGUAGGCCGUGUUCUGCAUGUUAUUUCCUUGAAGUCAUCAGACCUACGCUCCCCCCAUCAUGGAAAGGCUCUUAUGAUAAGUGGCAGCCAUGAAAUAUGCACAGCCUGCCCUAGCUGCCUGACUCGUUUCGCAGAGCGUUGCUUUGCAUUCCCGUCCGUUCCCUCCAUCUUGUCCUCGUACCGCUUUCCUCCCUCGUUUCCAGUCAUUCAUUAGUGAAUCUCCCUCCUCUUUUACAAACGUACUCCCUCCCCCUCCCCCGCAAGCCCUCAGGUUGGUCAAAGAUCACCCCUUUCUCUCACCCCAAUCUCUACCUCUUGGAUUAUUUUUCUUUAAGUCUAUCCAUUCUCCAUUCUCUUUUACAAACACAUCAAGCUUGUUUCCCAGUGGCAACAACAGGCCGUGUAAUGAGUUAAAGCUACAGCAGUGAGGGAUGCAGAAUAAUAAUAAUAAUAAUAAUAAUAAUAAAAAAGUCAACACUCACCCAACAGAUACACACUGAAGGACAAUAAAAAUGUACAAAGCAAACUUGAAAAGCACGGAUUUUGAAUUCUUUAUUUAUGGAACGUCUGCUAUUCUAGGAAUACCCCAAAGAGUUUAAAAAAGAAGAAGAACAAAAUGGAAAUUUGGCACAUGGAAAGCAUUGUAAAAAGCACACUCCAUUAUAUGAAUCUUCACACACAAAACACAUAAGUUUAGAUCAAAGCUUUGGAGUACUGCUAUUAUAGAAAACAUGGAUCGUAAUAAUAUUUGAGUAAAUUCUAAAUGAUAAGAAUUGUUUUUUUUCAUGCACAGUUUGUUUUAUCGUUGUCUUUUGAACAAAAAGGAUGGGUAGAAAAACCCCCCACCAAUCUUUUACAAUACUGACCACAUGUGUAAUUAUAAGCAUAUAAAGAUAUUUGACAUAGUAAUAUAUUGGUGCAUAACAUAUCUUUAUAUUUGUCGUGUUGAAAUUCAGCAGGAAAUGAAAAAAAUAAAAUAAAUAAAUGAAAAAAGCGAGAGCACAGGCGAUGAACACAAAUUUAGACUGAAUUUGGCGGUAAAAUACAGAAGAUAAAUAUUCUGAGAUUCGUAAUUAUAUUCAACACAUGAAAAGAUGUAAAUCCAGACUUUUCCCACUGCUCUUGAUAUUUGUAGCUCUUACUUUAAUGGUACCUUAAACAUCAAGAUUCUUACCUUGCAAAGCAUAAAAAAAAAAAAAAAGUUUCACUGAUUGCACAAACAAGAUCUUUGUAAGACCAAACGACAUUUAAAAAGAGAACGCCGUAUUACGGGAGAUGUUACAAUGCCAAAGAGAGGCAUGGUGUGUUUCCUGGUUGACGGAGAGAAUCGUGUGUCACGGGUUGCAGUAUUUAUAAAUUAGCUUUAUGGACCAACGAGGGACCUGAACGAAGGUGGAUCUAUUGCAGUCGUACGCAAACCUGCACCAGAUUUCACUCAAAACCCGUAUCUGAUCCGAAGAAGACAAAAGUAAAUUACUAUGAAUGCAGAAAAGCUCACUUAUUCUGUACAGUGAAACAUGCUCAAUCAGUCUGAGUAAAUGUAGACAUGCAAACUUUUAAAUUAUACAGGACUGUGUUCAGUUUGUCUCAGAAAUUGGGAUUAUAAUCUGGGAAUGACGGAAGACGGAAAUUUUAGCCAAACAGAGGAAGUAACAUACAAUUUAUGUUCUUAAAAUCCUUGCAAUAAAUGACUUUGCAACUAUGAUUUAUGUUCUUUUUUUCUCCAUUUGUCUCAUGUAUGCAAACCAACAUGAUCAAUACUUAGCUGCCUCACCUGCUGAGCAGUUUAUUGAGGUACUUGGAAUUAUGUUUUCUGCAUAUUUUAAGCAAUUAUUUAAAAGUAAAGUGGAGCAAAGAUAAUAUUCUUCAAUUAAACAAAUUUUCAUGCCAUUUGAGAGGAGAAGCUGCAAAAACGCAAUCUGACACAGAGAACAGCUUUUGUUUUUAGGGUCAAUCAAUAGGAUGCGAUUCCAACCUUAAUGAGUAAUGCAUCAUAUAAAAACAGUUAAAAAUGUGCUGUGUAAUUUAUUUAUUUUUUUUUUAAAUUCACAGUUUUAUCACCUUUUAACUCAAUGUUGUUUACAUCUGGAAAAUACAAAAAUGAAUCCAAACUUUCCUUUCCUCACAUUUUCGGAUUUUUUGGAAAAUUUUUUUUUUGGGAAAAAAAAAAAAAAAAAAAAAAGUGAAGAUCACUUGGUUGUUAAAAACUGUUCCGCAACAAUUUCUGGCAACAGAUUGGCUUCUGACUAAUUACUUCAAAAGAAGCUGAACUGAUAUGAGGACGAAGUGGCCGUGCUGACGCUCCGCAGACGGGAAAACGUAAGCGAGGACAGGUGAAGCUGUCCGUGUUAAGAAAAAAAAAAACAACUCAAAACUUCUGCAUACAAGCAUCAUACACACUUGACGAAACCCACAUGCCCACACACACACACACACACACACACACGUUGUAAACAGAUGUCCAGGUAUAGGAAUCAUGCAUUUGUACCGUAAACA